rnacentral:rRNA from 1 species
UACGGAGGGUGCAAGCGUUGUUCGGAUUUACUGGGCGUAAAGCGCGCGCAGGUGGGGUGAACAAGUCGGAAGUGAAAUCUUGAGGCUCAACCUCGAGGCUGCUCCCGAAACUGUUCGCCUAGGGACUGGUAGGAGGCUGGUAGAAUUCCCGGUGUAGCGGUGGAAUGCGUAGAGAUCGGGAAGAAUACCCGUGGCGAAGG